CUGGUUCUAAUUUACGAAAAGAAGUUGCCGUAGUUAAUGUAACUAAGAUAAAAAUGUUAUGGGGCAAACGAGAAAUAUAUAUACUGUAUUUAUAAUGGGAUCUUAGUGUGGAACUGUGGACUUACAUAUAUAUAUAUAUUCAAUUUUAAAUUACUUUCUUCGACCACAAAUCAAAACAGCCAUGGACUAUACAAGAUAUUUGGAGGAGCAUAUGUUUCACUGUACGAGAUUCCUUUAGUACGAAAACAAAAAUCAGUUCAUGUCAAACAGUUAAAAUAAAUAGACUGGUGGUGAUUAUUGAUUAACCCAUCACAUUAUCCCUGGUGGGUUGUUGACGCUUUCAAAGAAAAAAAGCAGUAUCUACUGUUAGUACCAAAAAAAAAAAAAAAGCAAGCGUCCCGUGCUUCUUAUGGUGAUUUUUCUCAUUGAGAGGAACCGCCGAGCUGGCUGAGAAUAACGCCAAAGGAGGCGGGUUCACUGUUAGUGUGUAAUUAUAAUAUCCAGAAACUUCAUCAGGUAGUCAAUACCUUCUGCGGAAAAUAAUGAUAUUCAAUUUUGAAGGAUUCACGCAUUAUUCUCUUAUUUAAUGAUUAAUAAAAAAAUUAUAGAUAGUUCGUAUUAUAUUAAAAAGAAUAAAUAUGAUAAAAACUUAUAAUGAGAUUAAUGUUAAAUUUUUUUAAGUAUUACAUAUACAUAUAUAUUUCUAUAUUUUUUAACUAUUUAUUCUAUUGUGCAAGUGUGAUUGAAUUAAUAUCACGAGUUUAUUAACACCAACUCAUUUUAAAAAUUUACUAAAAUAAUUCUUUAUAUAUUUUAAAUAAGUUAUAUGAUUACUAGAGUACUUUUAUAUUUUUCUUAUUUUAAAAAACAAUAAAAAAAGUUGCAAAUAUUGAGCAUUAAACUUACAUCAACGUUUAUAUGAUUUUUUUUUUAUUACUUAAACCAAAGUGAUAUUUUAAUAUUUUUAAACAUUUUAAUUUUAUUAAAUAAAUUGUUUCACCUAUAUAAACACAUAUUAUUAUUUAAGUGUGUGAUUCAAUUGGUGGAAUGAAGUCAACUUAACAUCAACUUAGUUAAGGAAAUUACUAAAAUAACUUUAUCUAUCAUACUAUUAUUUAGGGAAACUAUAUAAAUAGUCACCCAACUAUGCCUACGUUCUUGUUUUGGUCACCCGACUUUAAAAUUUUUCAAUUUAGGCACUAAUACUUGAAUUUGUUAUUGUUUUGGUCACCCGCCAUUAAAUUGAUAACGAAAAGCCAUUUUCUAAUUGGUAUAAUAACACAAUUAGUCCUCAAUACUUAUAUAUUUUAUCAAUUUGAUCCUAAUUCUAAAAUAAUUCAAUAAAUUUAACCCUUCACAUUUACAAUUUCUAUCAAUUUGAUCCUUAAAUUCUUAACCAAAGUUUUCAGCUUUUAAAACAAAGGCAUUCCUCAACUAUUAAUUGUUUUAUUUAUGGUUGAAAUCAUCCAAUUUGAUAAAUAACCCUUUUUUGUUUAUAUUUUUAAGAAGUUAGUGCUAGAAAUUAACUAAACACCAUUAAAAUAAUAGAAAAUAAUAUAAUAUAUAAUAAAAAAGUAUAUAAUUUACUAUUCUACAGUGUAUCCCUCAACCACCUUGAGACUUUCCUUUAUAUCACCAAUGAAAUCCUCAAGUUUGACAACCCUACCUUCCAAAAUUGACAACAUAUCCAUUGAUCUUCCUGCAUUCCUGAUCCUCUCAUGGGUCUCUAGUGGGACAUUCCGAUCCUUUGCUUCUUUCUCCAUCUCAACUUGACACCUUACGAACCUUGACUCAUGAUAGUAACUGUACAAGCCCAUUUUCUCGGGCCCAUACCAGCAAAACAAAAAUGUCCCACUUACAAAACUUUAACCCAAUUAACCCUCAACCCAAUUACAACCCAUAACCCAAAAUAGACCCAAAACAGACCCAAAGCCCAAACAAUCCCACUACCCAAAUACCUAACCCUAGCAGCCCACUAAACCAAUAACAUAAAACAGAAAAAAAAACAAAACCCUAGGUGCGCCGCACCUAGGGCCUCCAACCACCUGCCCUCUGACCUGCCGCCACC
rnacentral:lncRNA from 1 species